rnacentral:lncRNA from 1 species
GUUUCCUAAUUCUUCAAACUAUUUUGGUUUUGAACUGAAUGCUGUAGAAACAGUUAAACAAGAUGUCAGCGCCCAUGUUUCAUAACAGGAACAUUGCAUAGUUAUCUUUCUGCUAAUUUAUAAGUUCAAAUUUAUGUAAAGGUACGAAUUAUUUACAAUUUAUCAUGUUUUGUCCAAACACAUCAUGUUGGAAUUUUUCCUCAUUGGCACUCACACCACAUCUUCCUAUAUUCUAUUAUCUUAAAUGACCUAGGCACUCUAAUAAAAUAUUGUCUUUGAAAAUGUUUACAAUAAAACAAUAGUGCGGAUCAACUCGGCCCAAGACAAGUCAAACAAUUGUAUAUUUACCAUGACAACUCGCACAUAAUAUAUGGCAGCAUUACCUGUGAAGGAACGAAGUCGAUGAUUAUUUUUUUGUAAUUUAAAAUAUUGUGAAAAAAGAAACGGAAAUAUGUAACGUUUCCGAUUUUUUCGUUGUUAGGGAUUUAUUGUGCGUUUUUAAGUUAUGAGUCAUUUAAAAGUUCAAUUAAACAAUAACGCAAAAAUACAAAAAAGAAAUUAAAAAUAUUGUAUUGUGUUCUUGAUUCCUAUAUUUUACUAGACUAAUAAAGUCUCACGACAAGACCGAAAAAGGAAGUAAUUUCUGCGUGCGCAGAUCAGAAUUUAAAAACACGAAAAAAAAUUGAACGAUUUGAUUAGUACAGUGAAAAUUCGGGAAAAUUUCCCGAUUUUUUUUUUUUUUUAUUAUUUUUCUAUGUAUUGGACUUCGCCCAUAUUAGUCAAUCGAACACGGAAAAUUCCUAUACAAAUCAAAUAAAUCAAAUCAAUAUAUUUUAUGUAAUUAAAGACCCAGAAUAAUCACAAUAAAUUUGGUACAAAUGAUUACAAAAUGAUUAAUAUUUGAAUACAAUUAAAUCGUUACAACAAGGAAAAGAAAGCACACUAUAUAAUGUAUAUUUAUUAACAAUGUAUAUAUAUAAAAUAAAGAGAUGAUAUCAACAGAUAGCCUAUAUGGUAAACAAUCUAAUAAAUACUAGAGGUCACUCUUUAAACUUUUAAACAGUGUAAAACGCCAUAGACUUAUACUUUUUCAGUAGAAGUGGAUCAUUGAAAAACCUGUCAAUUUAACUGUGAGAAGACUUUGUAAUUUUAAUUAGUAACGGCGAAAAUUGAAACCAGUAUAAAUUCAUAUGUUCAGGUUAAGUGUUCAGUUGCACACACCGAAAUAUUUAUUUUUAUUUUUAAUAAGUCUAAUAUAUUUAAAUAUAUUAUUAAGACAAGAAAUUGCAUUCACCAGAAGGGUCAGUAAAGCCGUUGGCUUAUUUUAAUGAACCAAAGAUAAAGGUAUGAUAAGAGUCAGGCAUAACCUGUGAAAGGGAAGGAAGUCUGUAGAAUAACUUUUUUUAAUUCAAACAUAUUUUAACUUUAAAAUCUGUUAAAAAGGAAUGGAAAAAAAAAACCAGAACGUUUCUUAUUUUGGUUCUGUUGUUAGGGAUUUUAGUUGUGAAGUUAUUGUUAUUUAAGUUUUUAAGUACAAUGUAUAUUUCUGCGCAAAUGUUUGAAAAUGAAAAAGUCUUAAAAAAAGUUAACAAUGCACAAGUUUACAUGUAUUAGUAGAAUGAUUAUUUUGCAAGAACAUUUUUUUUUUUAAUUAGAUUUUUUAAAUUUUUCUAUGGUAAUAGGGGACACCUAAUUACAUGAAUUAGGACAAAAGUAAAAUAGCAAAAAUACUGAACUCUAUCGACUAUGAGGAAAAUUCAAAAUGGAAAGUCCGUAAUCAAAUGGCAAAAUCAAAUGAUAAAACAUCAAUUGAAUGGACAACAACUGUCAUAUUCCUGACUUGGUACAGGUAUUUUCAAAUGUAGAAAAUGGACAACUUGCACAAAGUAUUAAUUAAAAAGCAGCAUUAAUUUCAGAUCAACUGCUGAACUGGAGUAUUCUGAUAUGCAAAUAAUAUAUGGUUCUUUGCAGGCUGUUUUCUUUUGUUGGCAUACUAAUUACAAUGUAGCAACAAUCUCUAGGCACUCGUCUAUAUGUCUUAAUUUGUUUAGGCAACACUCGUCUAGAUGUCCAAAUUUGUUUAAGGAACCCUUACAUCCAUAUGAUCCGUCUUUGUACAUUACAAUAUGGAUAACAUUACAAACCCUUUUCCAAGUCAAAGAUUGCCAAUCCAUUCUAGAAAGAAAGCUAUUAGCAAACAAGCUAGGACCAAGGUAGAUUACUGUAAAAUGGAAAAAAACGCAGAACAACACUACUUUACAUACCAUACAGAUGAACAGCAAUUUCCACAAUGCCUCUGACAAUGUCUGAGGAGCCAACAAUUUCUAGAACUAAAAUAUUGUCUUAACCUUAUGUUUGGGUUUAUAAGACUUAAAAAAUAAUUGGUUUUAACCUUAUGUUUGGGUUUAUAAGACUUAAAAAAUAAUUGGUGAAGAAAAAAUCAUAUUGUGGUGCACUUCCUUUCUUGUAACGGCCCUUUGUAAGUACUCAAUUUUGAUUAUUUUCCCAUUUUAAUCAAUUUUUACCCAUUUUUGGGCUUUUAUCGUGCAAAAGACCACAGUUUCACAAUUAAACUUUUUUUCAUACUUUUAAUAUAGAUGAAAUGGAUCAAUCUGAAUAAAUUUAACUUUUUAUGGCCCUGCAACAAAGUUGUCAGUGCCAUAUAGUUUUACCCUUGUCAGUCAUUCCGUAAUUCCGUCCAUCCGAAAUUCGGUCAUUCCAUCAUUCCGCAACAAACCAUUAUACAGAGUGUUUGGCUAAACGCCUUAGUAUUGGGCUGAUUUUUGGUAUGUGAUUAACUUUGUGUGCUUUGACACAUCUAGUUAAAAAAAAACCACUUAAGGUAGGUGUUAAUAUUUUGAUGCUUUUUCAUGUCUUAGUUAAGUUUAAACAUAUUUAUUUAUAGUAAAUUGGGAAACAAGUUUUGCAACUUAUAUAUUAAUCCCUUUUCGCUUUGUGGGUGCGAGUGCUGCCUUGGGUGUCUUUAACGUGCAAGAGAUACAUUGAGAUAUGGCUCUCUCUUAACAUUAGUCAGCCAUUUAUUGUCCCCUUCCAACGGACUAUCAUCGUUUCCUCAAGACCAUACUAGCAAAUUGUGUCAAAGGAGAGCCGAAAAUUCAGUCUCUGAAAUUUUCAUUCCGAAAAGGGAAUCAAACCAGAACCUUUGUGUUAGUAGUCUGAUGCACUAACCACGACACUACAGCUCUCUUUUUCAUGUCAAAUUGACAAUUCUGUCAAUUUUGUCAAUUUUCUCUGUUUUAAGAACAAAAUGCAUAUUAUUUUAACUUCUUUGUUUUUUUAUAAAUGAUUGAAAAAUAUAUAUAUCUAAAGUAUAAGGAAAGUUGUAGGGGAUUGGGAUGUAGGCCUACAUGUAACAAUGUUUCUGGUAAAAUAAUUUCUUGUGCCCCUCACCCAUUUUCUCAAAAUUUUGACUAAAAAAACUGAAUUGAUUAGUGAUAAAAAAAAAUAUUUUUUUUACUCAUAAACUACUAAUUGAAAGUACACAAUUUUUUCAAAGAGUUCAGUUUGAUUAUAACAUUUUUUAAAUUCAUCGCUAUUUUCCAGAUGUAUUACAUGUUUUUGAAAUAAUUCUUGAACGAAACCUCAGAAGAAUACAUUCUUUAAUCAAUUAGUUUAAAAACAUUAAGAUUGAAUAAUGAACUCAUCAGAUGAAGAAGUAAAGAUUUUAUAUGUCACAUAUAAAAUCAAUUUAAAUUCACAUUACCUAAACAAACAAAUUUGAGAAUGCUCUUCAAUUGCAAUUUAAUAUAGCAACAAAUUGGUGUAAAGUAUUGGUUUAUGUGAAAUAUAACCUUUUCCUUUUAUUUGUUCUAUUAGGUGAUUGGAAGAUAAUUCUUCAAUGGCUGAUGAUGAUGGUAAAUAUAAGAAAUCAUGUGACAGAUUACGACAUGAACUAAGAGAUUGUCUCAUAUACAGUGACUGUGUACAAAAGGUAAACAAAUAUGGUAGAUUUUAACUGGGGAUUUUUUUUAUGCAUUUCCAAAUUAAACUAGUAGAUAUAAAAAUAUUAAAGGUGAUGAGGUAUAAUUGCAAAUGCGAAAACUAUCCAACAAAGUUGAAAUGAAGUGAAUGUAAGCAAUUACAGGCAACAGCAUGACCUUCAACAAUGAGACAAACCCAAACAAUGUAGUCGUCAAUAAAAGGACCUGACAUGAAAAAUAUGAAACAACUGUAAAGGUUAUAGAGAAAACAAAAGGCCUAUUUUUUUAACAAAACAAUUUGGAAAUCAAAGCACUGGUUACUGAACAUCAGAUGACCACAAGUUCUUGUGGAUGGUCAAAUGUACUUGUCUCAGAAAAAAAAUCACAUAUUUCUUUACCCGAAACUGAGGUUAAUUUACAGAGAUAUAUUUUUUUCUGAGACUAGUUGGUGCGUGGAUGAUGAAUAAAUGACAGGAAAUUCAACUUCACCGUAAUAACUAUUAUAUUGUAGUGAUACAGUAUAGAUUGAUUGGUUGUUAUAUAUUAAAAUUACAAUCACAUGUAUAUACGAUUUCCAUCCAUUUGUAUAUCAUUCCAUUCUACUAUUCUAAUAAUAGUGCAAUGCAAGUGCAUGGUGGACAGACACUUUUCUGUAAAAAUUAGAUUUUUCUAAAAGAUUAGAUGCGAGUAGGCAUUCAUAUAUUCCCGCAAAAACAAUUACAGAGUUACUGGUCCUUGUCGGUAUUGUCGCAAAACGUUCUUGAGAUAUUCUUCCACAUGCUUUAACACAAUUUAUAGGUACAUGUGCAUUGAUAUUAUCAAUGAUUUUUUUCUUAUAUAUAUAUAUAUAUAUAUAUAUAUUUCCAACUACAAAACAUUUUCAUAUUAUUAAUUUAUGUUGUAAACAAAAAUAUUGUUAUCAGUAUUCAUUGAAGAUAUGUAUGUAUUUAUAUCAAGCGAUAAGGAAUGUUAUUUUGCACUCGUUUAUGUUCAUGAUCUAUGUUUACAAAUAGUUAACAAUCCACCAUUGAACUUUUUAAAUUUUUGAUGCAUCAUAUCCUCUUUGCUCUGAUGCCACAUUAAGCUUUAUCAAUCAAUCUAGUUAAAAGUACCGAAGAUAAAAGCAUGUGUCAGGUUUUUUGUUUGUAAUUUUGUAGGAUAAAAGGACACCCAGGGAAUGUUUAAAAUUAGGAACACACAAUCCUACAGUACCAAUGGAAUGUCAUGAACUCAGAUACAGAUUUUUUCAAUGUAAAAGAUCAAUAGUAAGUAACUUAGAUUAAUUCAUUGUUGGGAAACAGAUGGAAAAUUCUACUCAAUAAAUCAUACAAAUACUAUAUCAUGCUUCAUUUGUAGAAAUUUAAUUUUACACUUUUUUUAUGUCAUACUUGUUCCUUCCUGUGGCAUUGAAGUAAAAUUACCCAAUUACAGAUGCUUUAAUGUAGAGUACUGAAAUGGAGAAAAGUAUAUGUCAUGUAUUGUGCAAAAUAGAUAUAUUGGUUUAAAGCAUAGUUGGAAUUAUUAAAAUAGUAAUAAUUAUAAAAAUAAUAAUGAUAUUAAUAAUACCUGUAUUAAAACUUCCACCAAACUGGGGGUUAGGGCUCCUUGAACCGGUCAAUGAUGCAAAGAAACACAUACAUUUGUAUGAACAAUGUGUACUAUAUUAUGUAUAAUAAUUAAAAAAAAAAAACAGUAUUCAUUACAGUUUUGGGUAGAUAAUGGUUGAGAGCCAAUCAUAAGAAAACUAUGAUUUUAAAUAGUAUUAGAUUUAAAUUAUUUUUUUGAAAUUGUGAAAUGAUUUUUAAAACACCAGAAAUGUACUAUAAACAAAUACAUGUAGCUGUUUUUACUAAUUUGUUAGACUUACAUCUGUCUGAGAUAGCUUACUCAUGUUUACCCCUUAUCACCAAAGUACAGUGUAUAAAAAUAGACUAGCUUUGUACUUCUGGUUUACUAAUGUUUAUGUACGAAUUAAUUGAAUUGUUUUUGAAUAAUAAUUUUUCAUGUUAUAUAUAUUUAUCACAUGUUUAUUAAUUUCUUAUGUCUGAUAAAAAAAAACAAUUUCAUUAACUUAUCAUUGCACCUUUCUUGUGCAGUCAGUUUUAAAGUACAUAUGUUUCAAAUGUUUGUGAAAAAUAGAUCUAUGUUUUUUCCAGAUUGACAUGAGGGCAAGAUUCAGAGGUAUUAAAGAUUAGCACAAUCAUGGAAUAUUUAUUUUAACAAUGUGUGACUGUGUAUGGCAGUGGAUAAGGAUAUUAUAGUUGUGUUUUCUGUGAUUUUGUAUUAUUGAACACAUACAUAUGUAUAAAUAAAAAAGUUUAUUAUAUACUUAGUAGUAAAUACAGAUAAAUUGUAUGUGUAAUACAAUCAUUG